AGUGAACGCUGGCGGCAGGCCUAAUACAUGCAAGUCGAACGGCAGGACAGUAAGAGCUUGCUCUUACGGGUGGCGAGUGGCGGACGGGUGAGGAAUACAUCGGAAUCUACUUUUUCGUGGGGGAUAACGUAGGGAAACUUACGCUAAUACCGCAUACGACCUACGGGUGAAAGCAGUGGAUCUUCGGACCUUGCCCGAUUGAAUGAGCCGAGUUCGGAUUAGCUAGUUGGGGGGGUAAAGGCCCACCAAGGCGACGAUACGUAGCUGGCCUGAGAGGAUGAUCAGCCACACUGGAACUGAGACACGGUCCAGACUCCUACGGGAGGCAGCAGUGGGGAAUAUUGGGCAAUGGGCGAAAGCCUGAUGCAGCCAUACCGCGUGGGUGAAGAAGGCCUUCGGGUUGUAAAGCUCUUUUGUUGGGAAAGAAAAACAGCAGGUUAAUCCACCGCUGUUCUGACGGUACCCAAAGAAUAAGCCCCGGCUAACUACGUG
rnacentral:rRNA from 1 species